rnacentral:rRNA from 1 species
UUUAGACUGGGAUAACAGAGGGAAACUUCUGAUAAUACUGGAUAAGUUAGUAUAUCGCAUGAUAUGCAAAUGAAAGCUACGGCACUAAAGGAGAGCUUUGCGUCCUAUUAGCUAGUUGGUAAGGUAAGAGCUUACCAAGGCGAUGAUAGGUAGCCGGCCUGAGAGGGUGGACGGCCACAAGGGGACUGAGAUACGGCCCUUACUCCUACGGGAGGCAGCAGAC